AAAUCCACUAUGGCUGUGAAAUAUCACCAUAUUAAUCAUCAUCAUGGUGGAUCUGGCUGGCUAGGUGUGUAUUCCCCUCGUCACUUUACUCCUUCAUGUGCAUCCCUCCUGAAGCUUUGUUCGUCGUCCAAGAGGACAACCUUCCAAUGACAGAGGAGAACAGGUCUUCUAGAGUCUAAAGGUAUCAGAACACCCCUGCUGGAAUCUCUCCUUUACAUCUCUAACAGAUUCCACCCAUUUCAUAUCUUUCAUAAGAAGUGGUUUUCAGUUCUGGAAU
rnacentral:sRNA from 1 species